CGGGUAGAGUAAUGCGUGACCAACCUGCCCCAUGCUCCAGAAUAGCUCUUGGAAACGGGUGGUAAUGCUGGAUGCUCCAACUUGACGCAUGUCUUGUUGGGAAAGUGUUUAGUGGCAUGGGAUGGGGUCGCGUCCUAUCAGCUUGUAGGCGGGGUAAUGGCCCACCUAGGCUUCGACGGGUAGCCGGCCUGAGAGGGCGGACGGCCACAUUGGGACUGAGAUACGGCCCAGACUCCUACGGGAGGCAGCAGUC
rnacentral:rRNA from 1 species